AUGGCUUCUUUUCCGCUGCUCUUUUUACCGCCGCCGGUUGUCGGCCACGAAUCGGGCUUGUUCAACCCUCGCGUUGUUGUGGGCGGAGAAGCUCUGUCCACCGCGGCGGCCGCCUACACCACCACAAGCAACGACUGCCGAGUCCGCGUCUCCGUGCGGCUCGAACUCCCCCCCGCGGAGUCCUACCUGCACAUGCAAACCGACGACACGCUCCUCAAAGAUCCCUUGGUGCUGGCUGCCUGCGGCGACCUCCUCCUCGUCCACAUGGUCGUCCACGACGCUGCCGAUGAUCUGUCGUGCAAGCAGAACCUCUUCGUAUACAAGGCCCACCCCACUCGCCCGUCGCUCAGUCGUCUCCCCAAUCCCGACACCUUCACCGGCUGGGCCCAAUCUUGUGGCAUCGUCCCCUGUGACGACGGGGGUUUCGUUGUGGCUUCUUUUCGGACAAUCAAGACUGACUUAGAUCUGCAAACAGGAUUGGCGAUGGAGCGUGUCGAGUUCUUGCACUAUUCUCCUGCCACCGGACACUGGGAUUUGAAGAGUCCAACAAUGCCCUACGAUGGCGAGGCCCUCAAGCCGUGCCUAUGGGAGACAGAUCAGGUAUUCUCCUAUCCAGAUGGUACAAUAUACUGGGUGGAUUACCACCGCGGCUUAUUGUCCUGCAACGUGCUUUCUGCUGGUGAAAAUCUAGAGCUCCGUUUCAUCCAGCUUCCAGGGAUAGAAAUUUGGACUGAGCUCGAUGAUCUCUCUUAUGGUCGUGUAUACCCUGAGGCAUAUAGAACUGUUGGUGUAUGCAAAGGUAUUGUUAAGUUUGUUGACAUCGAUAAUGGCUUUUUUGGAAGUAUGAAGAAAUCUGGUUUCACAGUCACAGUUUGGACUUUGAAAAUGCCGGAGUUGGAAUGGCAUCAGACAAGCAUGUUCCAAGUCGAUGAUUUAUGGGCUCUUGCAAACUUCCGAGAGUCUUCCCUUCCACGAUGGGUGCCACAAUUCCCUAUUGUGAACACACAUGAUAAUCAUGGUUUAUACUUCAUAUUGCAAGAGUGUGACAGUUUUGGUGAGGACUGGAUCAUCACAGUGGAUAUGCACAACAAAGUGUUGCAGUCAUAUGAGCGGCGCAUUUACUCAAUCUUGGAAUGA
rnacentral:rRNA from 1 species